rnacentral:rRNA from 1 species
AAUGAACGCUGGCGGCGCGCCUAAUACAUGCAAGUCGAGCGAGAAGACGUAGCAAUACGUUUGUAAAGCGGCGAACGGGUGAGGAAUACAUGGGUAACCUACCCUCGAGUGGGGAAUAACUAGCCGAAAGGUUAGCUAAUACCGCGUACGCUCCUUGGACUUCGGUUCAGGGAGGAAAGCGAUACCGUGGGUAUCGCGCUCUUGGUUGGGCUCAUGUCCUAUCAGCUUGUUGGUGAGGAACGGCUCACCAAGGCUUCGACGGGUAGCUGGUCUGAGAGGACGAUCAGCCACACUGGCACUGCGACACGGGCCAGACUCCUACGGGAGGCAGCAGUAAGGAAUAUUGCGCAAUGGGCGAAAGCCUGACGCAGCGACGCCGCG